rnacentral:lncRNA from 1 species
CUUAAUAUAACUAAACUUGAGAAAACUAUUUAUAAAAGUCUUUCAAUAAAAUUUGAACUGAAAAAAAAUGAUAAUUAAAUAAAUUAUAAUUGCUACUUAGAAGAGUAAUUAAAAUAAAAACCCAAUUGAUUAUUAUAAUUAAGGCCCAACCACUUAAUAAACUGAGCCCAAUUAAUUAAAACUAACCUAAGCCCAAGCCCCAAGCCCACUAUCAACCUCUAAUUUAAACUCACACCCAACUCCACUCCACACAUUCACACGCAGCUCACUCCCUCUCUCCCUUCCUCCCUCGGCCUUCUUCCUCUCGGCCUCUUGCCGCCGCACCUCCGGACGGCAGCGCCGUCAGCGCAGACCGGCGGCUCCGCCGCCUCUCCCUCUUCUUCCUAUCUCCCUCUUCCCUCACUCUCACUCCCUCUGUCCCUCUCCUCACCGCGUCUCCCCCUUCUCCGGCGACCCUCGCCGUCUGCCAGCACCUCCUCCUGGCCGUCAGCAGCGGCACCCUUGUCGCCGCCGUGUCGACAGCACAAGCCGGUCAGGCCGCCUUCUCCCUCUUCCUGAAAAGAGACGCACAGCCGAGACCAUAGCGCCGCCGCCCUGCUCCUUCCGCCACCACCCCCUGCUUCCUUCCGCCGGCCGCCAUGGCGCGCAGCGCCGGCGGUACUGCUGCUCAACCACCCCUCCCCCUGUUCUAAGCCACAACCCCUUUCCAGUUCAUUCUUUCUAUUUUCCUUUUCUUCUUGUAAGCAGUGAUAUGCAUGUUUGAAUUAGAAAAAAAUAAGAACUUUUGUGGGUGUUUGGUUUUGUGCAGAGAUGAACAACAGUAAAUGAAAUAACUUUGUAAAAUCAAUUAAAAUUUACCAGCUUGGAUUCUGUAAUGAGAGAUGGAAAUGGGUUUGUAUGCUGUAGGCGAAACAGACGAGGAAAAGGCGAAUUGGGGACGAUGAUUUGAGGUUUAAAUAGAGCUGCAAGAUUAAGUUUUUACCACAAAAAUGAAACGUGAGCUGCUUGUUCACGUAAGAAAAUUUGUGGAUGAUAAAGGAACCAAAAUUGUGGUUGAGAAAACUGGACGUGCUCCCCAAGCUGAAAAUGGAAAUGAGUGGGCUCUUAAUGUUGAAAGUAAAUUUUGAGAUAAGGCCCAAUAGAGAAAUUUGUAAUAUUCAAUUAUGGCCCAACUUUGAGCAUAAAAAUUUCAUUUGUUAAGUUAAUAAUCUGCAAUCUAAAAUUAUUUAUCUAACUAGGGGCGCGACUAUAUAAUUCACGAACUUGCUAUAUAAAUAUUCUUUUCAUGAUUUAAAAAUUAGUUAAAAUAUAAAUAAUGAAAUCAAACAAAUAUCCAGAUAAUCAAAUAAUUAAAUGGGUUUCGGGCUGUCACAACCCUACCCACUAAAAGAAAAUUUCGUCCUCGAAAUUUAACUUACUUGGUUCUAAGUGGGGAUAGCGAGCUAGGAUUUCUUCUUCACGUUCCCAAGUUGCUUCAUCAGGUCCGUGCCUAGUCCAUUGAAUUUUUACUAAGGGUAUUUCUUUACCCCGCAAAACCUUUACCUUCCGAUCCAGUAUGACAUUCGGCUCCUCUUCGUACGUGAGGUCCUUAUUGAUUUGGAGUUCUUCAUGAUGAAUGAUGUGACUAGGAUCGUGCAGAUAUUUUCGCAGCAUGGAGACGUGAAACACGUUAUGUACAGCCGACAAUUCUGGCGUUAAAGCUAAACGAUAGGCUACAUCUCCUAUGCGCUCUAGGAUUUCAAAAGGUCCAAUGAAUCGAGGUCUCAACUUUCCUUUCUUGCCGAAUCGUAGGACUCCUUUCAUUGGUGCCACUUUGAGAAACACCUUUUCGCCCACCUCAAAAUGUAACUCUUUUCGCCUGCGAUCAGCAUAUGAUUUCUGUCGAUCCUGAGCCAUUUUAAUCUUCUCUUUUAUUUUCCCGAUGACCUCAACCGUUCUCUCAACGAUUUCCGGGCCCAACACUUUUCGUUCACCAACUUCGUCCCAAUAUAGUGGCGAUCUACACUUUCUCCCAUAUAACGCUUCGUAUGGAGGCAUGCCAAGGGUCGUUUGAAAACUGUUGUUAUAUGCGAAUUCGAUCAAGGGCAGGUGAGUUUCCCAAUUGCCUCCAAUAUCCAUGACACUAGUUCGCAGCAUGUCUUCUAGAAUUUGAAUAGUUCUUUCAGAUUGUCCAUCUGUUUGAGGAUGAUAUGCUGUUGAAAAGUUGAGCUUCGUUCCCAUGGCUGCAUGUAAACUUUUCCAAAACCUGGACGUGAAUCUUGGAUCUCGAUCAGAAACAAUGGAUACUGGCACUCCAUGUAGUCUCACCACUUCUUGAACAUACAAUCUCGCCAAUUGGUNUCAAUAAUUCUCAUCGCGGUUUUACUCACGCGAAGCUAACUGGCUUAGUAAUAAAAUAAUAACCCUGCUUCAAUUAGAAUAUAAUCCAGUGUCAUAAGCUGAAUUUAAAUCAUAAAUAAUUACUGGACUUGAUUUACUGAAAGAUGAAAUAAUAAUUAUCGUAUUACUGGAUUUAAAUAUAAUAAAAGAGCGGGCUACUACAGUCGAUGAAAACUAUGACGAACUUGUCCAAAUAUGAGUGAAAAACACGAUUCAUCAGGUCCAUAAAUACCGCUGGAGCAUUGGUUAGACCGAAUGGCAUAACUACAAACUCAUAAUGACCGUAUCUUGUCCGAAAAGCUGUUUUAGGUACAUCAGUACCCUUUAUCUUGAGUUGGUGGUAGCCCGACCUCAAAUCAAUUUUAGAAAACACCUUUGCACCUUUCAAUUGGUCGAACAAAUCUUCUAUCCUUGGUAGAGGAUACUUGUUCUUGAUGGUAAGUCGAUUAAGCUCACGGUAGUCGAUACACAUACGCAUUGUCCCAUCUUUCUUCUUAACAAACAAGACAGGCGCUCCCCAAGGUGAUACACUUGGCCGUAUGAACCCUAUGUCCAAAAGCUCUUGUAGUUGUGUUUUCAAUUCCUCCAAUUCCUUUGGUGCCAUCCUAUAUGGUGCUUUUGAAACGGGUGCUGUUCCAGGCACUAAGUCGAUCGCGAACUCCACUUGCCUGUCUGGUGGUAUUCCAGGUAAAUUCUCGGGAAAAACAUCGGGGUAAUCACGUACCACUGGCACACUUUGGAGAGUAAGUUUUUCAUGUUCCUUGCCUACAAUGCUUACGAGAUAAGCCUCGCCAAAGCCUUUGUUCAAUAUCUUUAUCGCUUUCAUCGCAGAUAUCACCAUAGGCAUUCUUCCUAACUUUGAUCCUUGGAACGAAAAUUCUUUCUUUCCUGGUACUUUGAAAGUAACUUCCCUUUCGUGACACUUAAUUGUCGCAAAGUUUCGACUUAGCCAGUCCAUUCCCAAAAUCACAUCGAAGUCGUGCAUCUCUAUGAGGUACAAAUCGGCUUCAAACUUUCUAUUUCUAAAGUUCAAGGGAAUUCUCCGAGCAAUCCUAUUCGUUUUAAUGCAUUCUCCAGAAGGAACACUUAUGUUCAAGGCUAAGUUUUCUACUUCACAAGGGAUAUGAUUCUUUUGACAAAACUUAGCAGAAAUGAACGAGUGCGAAGCUCCAGAAUCAAAUAGAACAACUGCUGGUGUUCCAGAUAUGAGUAACGUACCAGUCAUUGUGUCAUCGUCCUCUGCUUCUUCUUGAUCAGCUAAAGCGAAGAAUCGAGCAUUUCCUUUCUUUUCUGGCUCUUUGCCUCCUCUUUUGUCUGGCCCAACAUUUUUCUUCCCUUCUAGCGCAUUGUUCAUCUUUUUAGGACAAUUAUGUGUAGUGUGCCCCGGUUCGUGGCAAAAGAAACAAACUCCUUUACCCCACAUGCACUCUCCAUAGUGAUAUUUUCCACAUUUCUGGCAUUGUGGUCUUGUCCCCGUUGUUCCUGGAUUAACGCCUCCACCAAACUUCGGCCUCUUAUCUUGGAAGUUUCCUCCGCCUUGAUUAUAGUUCUCCCACUUCCUUUUCAUAGGUUGAUUCGCUGGCUUUUGUGCAGGGAUGUUUGACCCAAGAGCAGUUGCCACCUCUUCGGCUCGCUUAACCAAAUCGCUAAAAUCUUCAAUUACAUGUGCAGCCAUAAUUCCCUUGAUGUCAUUUCUCAGUCCCUUUCUAAACCUAGCUAUCAUUUUGUCUUCUGUGUCAACUAGGUGUGGUGCAAAACGAGCCAACUCAUUAAAUUUUCUCUCGUACUCCUCUAUAGUCAUAUUUCCUUGUUUCAACUCAAAGAACUCGGUUUCCUUCUUUUCUCUGAAUGACAGGGGAAAGUAUUUAUCCAUUACUACUCCCUUGAAGAUUUUCCAAUUGAGAACAUUGCGAUCCUCUUCUCCCAACAGACGAUAGAAAUGUUUCCACCAUUGUCGAGCGUCCUCUUUAAGUUGAAAAACAGCACAUGAAACUUUCUGUUCCUCGGUACAGUUGAUGUGAGUGAAAAUCCGUUCAAGCUCUUCCAACCACUCUUCAGCUGCUAGCGGUCCAUCACGUCCAUUGAACCGUGGCGGAUUAUUGUUCCGAAAUCGCUCUACCGCUUGAUCUAUCGUGUUAGAGGUCUGGUUUAGGUCACGUUGUGUGGCCUGAGUUUGGGUUUGGUGCUGGACAAAACCCUGUAAAGCACUCAGAAAUUGACCCAUGAAGUCUCCUCCAUUAGUUGGAUGAGGUUGUUCUGCUUCUGCUUCGGAAUUGGUAUUUGAGUUCUCGGCGUGGUGGGAAUGUGCACGCGUAUUCCUCAUGGUUCUAUAAUCAAAGGCACUAUGACAUAAAUGAAAGAUUAUAAAACAAGGUUAUUCCUAAUUCGAGGACUAUGUUCAACAUGAAAAUUUUAAACUCAUCAAAACUCAAUAUCAUGCACUGUAAAAUUCCGAAAUAAAAUUCAUGGCUGCAAUAAUUUUCAACAUAAUAACUUGCAUACUGAACUUGAACUUUCUGAUAAUAACUUCAACUAUUGCAGCAAAAUUCAACAUAAAUUUCGGAAUAUAAACAGUUUAUACUCAUCCCCUUGAAAACUUUUAAAAUAACUUUUACCUUGAAGUCGGAGCGCGUAGUGGUCGAAUGGCUUCGUCACAAAUGACUUGAAAAUAUUUUAAGAAAAACAUUUUAUUUUGCAGAGUCUACAGGAAAGUAGACCUGCUCUGAUACCAUGCUGUAACACCCUAAUCUAAUUAAAGUGUUAAAUAUGAAUUUAAAUAAUUUUUGACAGCGAAAAUAUCAUAAAAUAAAGAUUUGGAUUUAUUUUCAAAUAAAUAAAUUUUUAAAUAAAAUAUUUGAAAUAACUUAAAAAGAAGGCCAGCCAUGAUAGGAAGCUAAUAUGAUAACACUAAACUCGAUAAGUUACACCAAAAUCUCAAGAGUAGUUUGAGACUUCGAAAACUGUACAAAGCAAAAGGUUAGGUGUAACUACAACAUUAUAUUUUCCAAAAAUAUUUACUUGACGCGCUCAUUCGAUCCUCUACGCGUCUCCAACCUUAGUUACCUGAAAAUGUUAAAUAUGGGAUGAGCAUAUGAAAUAUACUCAGUGUGGGAACAUGCAAUAAUUGUCCACGUUAAUAAAAUGGUCAACACAUAAGCACUGCACUGUAAUACUGAUAACUGAAAUUCGCACGGUGGCAUACCAAGGACUUUAAAGUCCUGGACCCAUUGAGUGGGCCCCUGGCGAAUAGGUUGCAACCCUAACUGUAACAUGAAAUCGCAUUGUGGCAUACCAAGGACGGUGAAGUCCUGGACCCAUUGAGCGGGCCCCUAGCGAUAUAACUGAAUUUACAACACAUAUGGCAAACACAUAAUAUUAAAAUGGACAAAAAUUACCACGGCAUGUACUGAAUAAAUCCCACACCUGUAACUUGAACUUGAAAAUUACUGCUAGAAAUGUAAAGUUCACGUUCCUAGUCGCGCCGCACCUAGUCAGAUAAAUUCAAAUAGUAACAUAAGGGCCUAAUUGAACUUUACAAAAUACCUUAAUAUAACUAAACUUGAGAAAACUAAUUUAUAAAAGUCUUUUCAAUAAAAUUUGAACUGAAAAAAAAUGAUUAAUUAAAUAAAUUAUAAUUGCUACUUAGAAGAGUAAUUAAAAUAAAAACCCAAUUGAUUAUUAUAAUUAAGGCCCAACCACUUAAUAAACUGAGCCCAAUUAAUUAAAACUAACCUAAGCCCAAGCCCCAAGCCCACUAUCAACCUCUAAUUUAAACUCACACCCAACUCCACUCCACACAUUCACACGCAGCUCACUCCCUCUCUCCCUUCCUCCCUCGGCCUUCUUCCUCUCGGCCUCUUGCCGCCGCACCUCCGGACGGCAGCGCCGUCAGCGCAGACCGGCGGCUCCGCCGCCUCUCCCUCUUCUUCCUAUCUCCCUCUUCCCUCACUCUCACUCCCUCUGUCCCUCUCCUCACCGCGUCUCCCCCUUCUCCGGCGACCCUCGCCGUCUGCCAGCACCUCCUCCUGGCCGUCAGCAGCGGCACCCUUGUCGCCGCCGUGUCGACAGCACAAGCCGGUCAGGCCGCCUUCUCCCUCUUCCUGAAAAGAGACGCACAGCCGAGACCAUAGCGCCGCCGCCCUGCUCCUUCCGCCACCACCCCCUGCUUCCUUCCGCCGGCCGCCAUGGCGCGCAGCGCCGGCGGUACUGCUGCUCAACCACCCCUCCCCCUGUUCUAAGCCACAACCCCCUUUCCAGUUCAUUCUUUCUAUUUUCCUUUUCUUCUUGUAAAGCAGUGAAUAUGCAUGUUUGAAUUAGAAAAAAAAUAAGAACUUUUGUGGGUGUUUGGUUUUGUGCAGAGAUGAACAACAGUAAAUGAAAUAACUUUGUAAAAUCAAUUAAAAUUUACCAGCUUGGAUUCUGUAAUGAGAGAUGGAAAUGGGUUUGUAUGCUGUAGGCGAAACAGACGAGGAAAAGGCGAAUUGGGGGACGAUGAUUUGAGGUUAAAUAGAGCUGCAAGAUUAAGUUUUUACCACAAAAAUGAAACGUGAGCUGCUUGUUCACGUAAGAAAAUUUGUGGAUGAUAAAGGAACCAAAAUUGUGGUUGAGAAAACUGGACGUGCUCCCCAAG